AAGGAUGUAGUAUAAUUGAUUACAGCUCAGUUACAUUGAGAAAAUUCAUAGUGUUGGCGUCUUUA
rnacentral:tRNA from 1 species